rnacentral:rRNA from 1 species
CACGUAGGGCGCAAGCGUUGUCCGGAUUUAUUGGGCGUAAAGAGCGUGUAGGCGGCCAGGUAGGUCCGUUGUGAAAACUGGAGGCUUAACCUCCAGCUGUCGAUGGAAACCAUCUGGCUAGAGUCCGGAAGAGGAGAGUGGAAUUCCUGGUGUAGCGGUGAAAUGCGCAGAUAUCAGGAAGAACACCCGUGGCGAAGGCGGCUCUCUGGGACGGUACUGACGCUGAGACGCGAAAGCGUGGGGAGCGAACAGG